GAUGAACGCUGGCGGCGUGCCUAAUACAUGCAAGUCGAGCGAACAGACGAGGAGCUUGCUCCUCUGACGUUAGCGGCGGACGGGUGAGUAACACGUGGAUAACCUACCUAUAAGACUGGGAUAACUUCGGGAAACCGGAGCUAAUACCGGAGAAUAUAUUGAACCGCAUGGUUCAAUAGUGAAAGACGGUUUUGCUGUCACUUAUAGAUGGAUCCGCGCCGCAUUAGCUAGUUGGUAAGGUAACGGCUUACCAAGGCAACGAUGCGUAGCCGACCGGAGAGAGUGAUCGGCCACACUGGAACUGAGACACGGUCCAGACUCCUACGGGAGGCAGCAGUAGGGAAUCUUAGGCAAUGGGCGAAAGCCUGACGGAGCAACGCCGAGUGAGUGAUGAAGGUCUUCGGAUCGUAAAACUGUGUUAUUAGGGAAGAACAAAUGUGUAAGUAACUAUGCACGUCUUGACGGUACCUAAUAAGAAAGCAACGGCUAACUACGUG
rnacentral:rRNA from 1 species